GAUGAACGCUGGCGGCGUGCCUAAUACAUGCAAGUCGAGCGAACAGACGAGGAGCUUGCUCCUCUGACGUUAGCGGCGGACGGGUGAGUAACACGUGGAUAACCUACCUAUAAGACUGGGAUAACUUCGGGAAACCGGAGCUAAUACCGGAUAAUAUAUUGAACCGCAUGGUUCAAUAGUGAAAGACGGUUUUGCUGUCACUUAUAGAUGGAUCCGCGCCGCAUUAGCUAGUUGGUAAGGUAACGGCUUACCAAGGCAACGAUGCGUAGCCGACCUGAGAGGGUGAUCGGCUACACUGGAACUGAGACACGGUCCAGACUCCUACGGGAGGCAGCAGUAGGGAAUCUUCCGCAAUGGGCGAAAGCCUGACGGAGCAACGCCGCGUGAGUGAUGAAGGUCUUCGGAUCGUAAACCUCUGUUAUUAGGGAAGAACAAAUGUGUAAGUAACUAUGCACGUCUUGACGGUACCUAAUCAGAAAGCCACGGCUAACUACGUG
rnacentral:rRNA from 1 species